rnacentral:rRNA from 1 species
UACGGGGGGGGCAAGCGUUGUUCGGAAUUACUGGGCGUAAAGGGCUCGUAGGCGGCCAACUAAGUCAGACGUGAAAUCCCCAGGCUCAACCUGGGAACUGCGUCUGAUACUGGAUGGCUUGAAUCCGGGAGAGGGAUGCAGAAUUCCAGGUGUAGCGGUGAAAUGCGUAGAUAUCUGGAGGAACACCGGUGGCGAAGGCGGCAUCCUGGACCAAUAUUGACGCUGAGGAGCGAAAGCCAGGGGAGCAAACGGG